GUUGGAGACCACAACGUUGAUAGGUGGGGUGUGUAAGCGCGGCGACGUGUUGAGCUAACCCAUACUAAUUACCCGUGAGGCUUAACCAU
rnacentral:rRNA from 1 species